rnacentral:lncRNA from 1 species
AAAAUACAGUUAUGCCAAUGAAGUCCCACUCAGGGUGAUAUCUGUAUCUAAAAGAUGAGUGCUCAUCAUCCUAUUAGGCUUUGUCUUGGUGGUGUUCAUCCUGAGAUGCUGAGACAUGGAAAUAAAAAAUCAGAAGGAAUUUAGGGAUAUGAUUACUCAAAAAAGAAACUAUCCUGUCUAAAUUUGAAUUGUGUUGAUAACUAGGUGUUCCCCAGAUGCUAAGAUGUUCUUAAUUUGUAUUUAUUGAAGGAUUGUUAGCUUAGUGCCACAAAAUUUUUCUUACUUUAUGUUAAUUCCAGAUAAGAAAUUUACAAGUUUAUAUCUUUUUUUUUCUUUUUUUUAAGAUGAGAUCUGGCUCUAUCACCCAGGCUAAAGUGCAGUGGCAUGAUCUAGGCUAACUCCCUGGCUCAAGCGAUCCUUCCACCUCAGCCUCCCAAGUACCUGGGACUACAGGCACUCACGGCCACACCUGACUAAUUUUUGUAUUUUUUUGUAGAGAUGGAGUAUCGCCAUGUUGCCCAGCUUCCUUUGAGGAAUGAAAAUCAUUGUUUGCUGUACAUUUGAUCAGAAGAAAAAAGAAAAACUGAAAUUAGUGAAGUCAGUGAAGUCUUCGGUCCCGUCCUGAAUCAUUUUUACCCUCUGUUUAGGGACAGGUCUAGAACGAGUGAGCACAAAACUGAAGAGUGUGCCGAAAAUCUCAGCAAUCAAGAUAACAUUUGAACUCCAUUUUUGAAAAAAAUAAAAACUAACACCCACGAAAAA